GUCUGUGAGUCACUGUCAGACCUAUGUGUGGCCACCAUGGGCCAGUCAAGCUGUCUAAGGUAUGGAAACAUCAGUGACAGAGGACAUUGUUGCUCUUUACAUGUACUCUUCAUCCUUCUGAUAUUGUGUAUGUUAACUCUAAUUUAGGUGGCACAAAGAAAAGAAGUUUCGCAUAAGCAGUACCACUAGCCACACAAUACUCCAUGCCCGACGGAGCCCUGAGGAGGUUGCCAGGGCCAUCCUGAACUCAAGGCCAUUUUCUACAGAGGCCACGGCUUAUGGACUCCGUACAGAACCCCUGGCUCGGAUGGAGUUUGAGCGUCAACUAGGUGUUGAAGUUGUGGAGAUGGGUUUGCUCAUACACCCGGAUCAGCCUUGGCUGUGUGGCAGCCCUGAUGGCAUGUUCUACCUGUCUGGGGAAACAUGCCUUUUGGAAAUCAAGUGUCCCCACAAGUGUAAAGAAGCAGACAUGUUCGA
rnacentral:lncRNA from 1 species